GAUGAAGAACGCAGCGAAAUGCGAUAAGUAAUGUGAAUUGCAGAAUUCAGUGAAUCAUCGAAUCUUUGAACGCACAUUGUGCCCCCUGGUAUUCCGGGGGGCAUGCCUGUCCGAGCGUCAUUACAACCCUCAAGCUCAGCUUGGUGUUGGGCCCCGCCGCCCCGGCGGGCCCUAAAGUCAGUGGCGGUGCCGUCCGGCUCCGAGCGUAGUAAUUCUUCUCGCUCUGGAGGUCCGGUCGUGUGCUUGCCAGCAACCCCCAAUUUUUUUCAGGUUGACCUCGGAUCAGGUAGGGAUACCCGCUGAACUUAAGCAUAUCAAUAAGCGGAGGA
rnacentral:misc_RNA from 1 species